GACGAACGCUGGCGGCGUGCUUAACACAUGCAAGUCGAACGGAAAGGCCCUGCUUUUGUGGGGUGCUCGAGUGGCGAACGGGUGAGUAACACGUGAGUAACCUGCCCUUGACUUUGGGAUAACUUCAGGAAACUGGGGCUAAUAACGGAUAGGAGCUCCUGCUGCAUGGUGGGGGUUGGAAAGUUUCGGCGGUUGGGGAUGGACUCGCGGCUUAUCAGCUUGUUGGUGGGGUAGUGGCUUACCAAGGCUUUGAAGGGUAGCCGGCCUGAGAGGGUGACCGGCCACAUUGGGACUGAGAUACGGCCCAGACUCCUACGGGAGGCAGCAGUGGGGAAUAUUGCACAAUGGGCGGAAGCCUGAUGCAGCAACGCCGCGUGCGGGAUGACGGCCUUCGGGUUGUAAACCGCUUUCGCCUGUGACGAAGCGUGAGUGACGGUAAUGGGUAAAGAAGCACCGGCUAACUACGUG
rnacentral:rRNA from 1 species